AACGAACGCUGGCGGCAUGCCUAACACAUGCAAGUCGAACGAGACCUUCGGGUCUAGUGGCGCACGGGUGCGUAACGCGUGGGAACCUGCCCUUAGGUUCGGAAUAACUCCCCGAAAGGGGUGCUAAUACCGGAUAAUGUCUUCGGACCAAAGAUUUAUCGCCUUUGGAUGGGCCCGCGUUGGAUUAGCUAGUUGGUAGGGUAAAAGCCUACCAAGGCGACGAUCCAUAGCUGGUCUGAGAGGAUGAUCAGCCACACUGGGACUGAGACACGGCCCAGACUCCUACGGGAGGCAGCAGUGGGGAAUAUUGGACAAUGGGCGGAAGCCUGAUCCAGCAAUGCCGCGUGAGUGAUUAAGGCCUUAGGGUUGUAAAGCUCUUUUACCCGGGAUGAUAAUGACAGUACCGGGAGAAUAAGCACCGGCUAACUCCGUG
rnacentral:rRNA from 1 species